rnacentral:lncRNA from 1 species
GAGAAAGAAAUAAAACAACAAAAGACAUGCUCCUUCAGUGCUGCUGCAAUACUGUAGGCCGCUCUUGUUAGGGCUGGGGACAGUGAUUAGGAGAGGCCACAAUAAGACCCGCCAGGAAACACAUGCCAAUUAGGUUACCAGGAGAACCACGGGCCCACAUCACUAUGGGAAACCCACUAGUCUCCACACUGCAAGGCCCAGAGGCACACAUAUGCACACUCACAGGCACCUACGGCACAUCCCCUACUAUUUUGAUUACAUUAUGACUUGAAUAAGAAGAAGGCGAGGGGAAAACAUGAAGGUGCAAAAGAAGACAAGACAAAAUGAUGGUGUUAAGGACCUUCUCAGCUGGACUCGCUUCAACCACUCUACUCGGUUUCAGUCAUUUUACAUUACAACUGAGUACCACCCGAAUGUGCUUGGGGUCAUUAAAGCAAUGCGGUGGAAAGUCCCGUGAUGUCAUUUGUAUGUGACCAAACACAACAGAAAAAUAGAAGACAGUGGAAGACUAACUCUGACCCUGCUGCUAAGCUGAUGGCAAGCAUCUGGACCUGGUUGUGAAGUUUUUUCCUUCAUUGCUGGGUUUCAAAAAUGGCGUUUUUGAUUUUAGGGAAGGAGUUGCUCUCACGACUCACUGAGUGACGCCACCGAUCGGCCAAUUAGUGGCAUGUAGUCUGAUGACGUCACAUUUUUUGGUUGGACUCAGAUUGCUCUGCACUCCGGCCCAGUAGGUAACAAAACUACCACCUAAUGGAAAACUCUAAAAUCCCCAAACCAAAAACUGCAGUCAAGUUGAGCUGAGCCAAGCCAAACUGAGUAGGUUUUAGCGGUAAAGGCCUAUCAGGUUAUUUUAGUCAUUUCCUGUUUUAUUUUGAUAGUCACUUCCCUUGUGUUUCAGGUGAUUCUACAUCCUGUCUUUGCCCGUUUCCCAACUUUAUGAUGUCUUCCCUUCUAAGAUUAAUUUCAUGUUUUCUUAGCUCCUCUUAUAAAUUGCCUUGUGUAUUUGUUCCCACCUCUCUACGUCCUCACCUUUUUGUUCAGUUAAAAGUUGUCCUGUUUAACCUCACCUGGCAUCCAGCAUUCUUUGGGUCCUAAUCUCAACAAGGCUGCGCUUUUACAUUCCUGCUGUCGAUUAAAAGUUUACCUUCGAGUCAGCGCGCAGCUUUCAGCGAGGCAAAGAUGAAGGCAGAACAAACAAGGGAGUGAGAAAGAGAAGAAAAAACACUUGGGCUCCAGUGGGAUAGCAGGAGUGCGACUUCAGGGAGAAUUAUUACCAGAUCGAAUUACAGGCUCAUCCAUGAGUGACAUGUAAGCCUCAGAUACACACUCAAAUGUUUACAGCACCGAUAUUUGCUCAAGCACGAUGUUAUCAGGCCUCGAUGUAAUACUCAAGGCUUUUGUUCUGACUUGCGUGGCAACAUUCACCAUGUCUGCAGAUGCAAUAACCAAGAAGAAGAUAGCAGCGGCACAAUGUUUGGCAGCAGUGUUGUCCCGAGGAGCUGUGACAUGACCCAGGCAGAACAGAGAGAAAACUCACUCUGGAGUCUUUGCGCUGAUGUGAUGAUGACUGAGAUGUUGAUUAAUGCGCGCAGUCCCUGUUAUUAAAUAAACAGGGUGAAUACACAAAAUAUAUUGAAUAAAUUAGAGCGUGAACUGAUCUCCACUGCGA